GGAUUAGGCAUGCAAGUCGGACGGUAGGGCUUUAUCGUAAGAUAGAGUUUGAGAGUGGCGAACGGGUGAGUAACACGUAGGAAUCUACCCUUAAGACGGGGACAACCCAGGGAAACUUGGGCUAAUACCGGAUGAGAGUGCGAGAGAUUGCAUUUAAAAGGAUGGCGAAAGUUGUCGCUUAGGGAUGAGCCUGCGGUCUAUUAGUUAGUUGGUGAGGUAAGAGCUCACCAAGGCGAUGAUAGAUAGGCGGCCUUAACGGGUGGUCGCCCACACUGGGAUUGAGAUACGGCCCAGACUCCUACGGGAGGCAGCAGUCGAGAAUAGUCUACAAUGGCCGGAAGGCUGAUAGUGCGACGCCGCGUGAACGAGGGAGCCCUUCGGGGUGUAAAGUUCUUUUCUAUACGAGCAGUGCUAUAUAUAUGGAUAGUAUAUAUAGAGGGAUAGUAGUAUAGGAAUAAGCAACGGCUAACUCCGUGCCAGCAGCCGCGGUAACACGGGGGUUGCGAGCGUUGUCCGGAAUUACUAGGCGUAAAGGGCAGGUAGGCGGAUCUACGAGUUUUUUGUUAAAGGCUACGGCUCAACUGUAGUAGAGCAGGAGAUACUGUAGGUCUGGAAUGCGGUAGGGGAAGACAGAAUUCCUGGUGUAGCGGUGGAGUGCGCAGAGAUCAGGAGGAAUACCGAAGGCGAAGGCAGUCUUCUAGGCCGUAAUUGACGCUUAACUGCGAAGGUGUGGGGAUCAAACAGGAUUAGAUACCCUGGUAGUCCACACAGUAAACGAUAAUCACUAGAUGUCGGGUUCUAGAUGGAUUCGGUGUCGGAGCAAACGCGAUAAGUGAUUCGCCUGGGGAGUACGAUCGCAAGGUUGAAACUCAAAUGAAUUGACGG
rnacentral:rRNA from 1 species